GGAGGUUUUUCCAGCUCUCGCUCUGUCUUGCUGGAUUUCCGUUUCUGGUAAGUUAAUCAAAGUUGCUGUUGUCGAGCACUUGGCACUUGUGAACUAGCUUCACGUUCUCUCCCGUUUGCGCCGGGCAACUGUCCAAAAAAGCAGAAAAGCUGAAAAGCCAGAAGGGAAAACUGUGGAGGAGAACAGAUCGCAGCCAGUGACUUGGCAAACUUUUCGCCUUUGUACGGGACAGAACAGCAGCAGAAUGAGCCAGCAAUCUUAAAGGGAUAUUUUUUCUAUAUGGAGAACACUUUUUAAACCAGUGAAAGGAGAACAGACCAUCAUUUCUUAUCGUCAGCCAUAAAAAACAUAAACAAAGAGAAUACUCCACAAAGAAAAUGUUCGUUGAUUUAUGUGCAAUCCAAAAAUUGAUUGGCCAUAGAUUUCGAAAAAAUAUUGUACAUACUCGUAUGUACAUAAGUACAAAAAUAUGUAUAAAGUAUGAAGAUAAAUCUGUUGAUUUAAUUGGUUAUAAACCCAGUGAAAGAGUGGAUGUUUGAUGGGUGUAGCCCGAAUAAAUGCACGACC
rnacentral:lncRNA from 1 species